rnacentral:rRNA from 1 species
AGAGUUUGAUUCUGGCUCAGACUGAACGCUAGCGGCAUGGCUAAAACAUGCAAGUCGCACGGACCCGCAAGGGUUAGUGGCGAAAGGGUGAGUACAAGCAUCGAACGUACCCCGAGGUGGAGGAUAGGCAUGGGAAACUGUGCGUAAUACUUCAUGAUCUCGAGAGAGCAAAGCAGCAAUGCGCCUUGGGAGCGGCGAUGUACCUAUCAGGUAGUUGGCGGGGUAAUGGCCCACCAAGCCGAAGACGGGUAGCCGGUAUGAGAGUACGGCCGGCCACAUCGGGACUGAGACACUGCCCGGACUCCUACGGGAGGCUGCAGUAACGAAUAUUCCGCAAUGGGCGAAAGCCUGACGGAGCAAUGCCGCGUGUGGGAUGAAGCGGUUUCGCCGUGUAAACCACUGUCAGGGGAUAGAAAAGCUGAUCAUCUCCAGAGGAAGGGGCGACUAACUCUGUGCCAGCAGUCGCGGUAAUACAGAGGCCCCAAGCGUUAGUCGGAAUCACUGGGCUUAAAGGGUGCGUAGGCGGGCGUGUAAGUGCUUUGUAAAAGCCCCGGGCUCAACCCGGGAACUGCAGGGCAUACUGCACGUCUUGAGGAAACUAGAGGCCGGCAGAACGAUCGGUGGAGCGGUGGAAUGCGUAGAGAUCGAUCGGAAUGCCAAGGGUGAAGACAGCCGGCUGGGGUUUUCCUGACGCUGAGGCACGAAAGCGUGGGGAGCAAACAGGAUUAGAUACCCUGGUAGUCCACGCCCUAAACGAUGCACACUAGAUCGGUGCCGGUUUCACCCGGUAUUGGUCGUAGAGAAAUUGAUAAGUGUGCCGCCUGGGGAGUACGGUCGCAAGGCUAAAACUCAAAGAAAUUGACGGGGGCUCACACAAGCGGUGGAGCAUGUUGCUUAAUUCGAAGCAACGCGAAGAACCUUACCUGGGUUUG